AGGAGCUUCACUGUCUCCUCAUCCUCCUCUAAUGGGGCUACUCCUGGUGUGCCUCAAUCUGCCGGGCCAGUGAUUCUUGAACUUCCCCUUGAUAAAAUCCGAAGGCCACUCAUGCGUACCAGAUCUAAUGACCAGCAAAAAGUGAAGGAACUGAUGGAUAGUAUCAAGGAAAUCGGGCUUCAAGUACCUAUUGAUGUGCUUGAGGUAGAUGGGGUUUAUUACGGCUUUUCUGGUUGUCAUCGCUAUGAAGCUCAUCAGCAACUUGGCCUUCUAACUAUACGUUGCAAAAUUCGUCGAGGAACAAAAGAAACUUUGAGGCACCAUCUUCGAUAAGAUCCAGCUAAAUCACUCUAAACUGAAGAUGCAUGAUAAUGGAUCGUCCUCCAACAAUAUUGAUGAUAUGUAUUUAAUGUAAAUGUAUACAAGAUUUGCCAAUGUUUGAGGUGUGCAGUACCUAAACUUUGGAGUUUGUACAUUAACUUGGUUGAUAUGCAAAAG
rnacentral:misc_RNA from 1 species